AGGAAGGUGAUGGUUUUGAUGGAGAGUGUUGUCAGUGGAUACAAGUUUACCCGGAUAAGACCUAGAUUGGCAGAAAAAGUUGAAGUGAUCACCUUUGACCCCUAUAAAAAAAAGUUAUAAAUCCUCUUUUGUGGUGAUCAUAUUCUUUUCUCUUUUGCCUGGCUAGGUACAAUGAAGUACAGUAGAUUUCAAUGUAUUGUGAAGAUAUUUUAGAAAAAUUUGUUUGUUUGAUAGGGGAGGAUACAAGUAGGAUAGAUUUUUGCUGUGAUUUAUGGCUUCUGGUAAUUCUUUUAUAGUGAAUUGAAUUACUAUAUUUGUAAGCCUAAAGAUAAUGGUGAAGAUGGAUAUAGUAAUUGGGAAAUGCUUUUUUCUUUUUUUUACAGUACAACAAGACAGUGUUUUCAAA